UAGUGGCGGACGGGUGAGUAACGCGUGGGAACGUGCCCUUUGGUUCGGAAUAGCCUCGGGAAACUGGGAGUAAUACCGUAUGUGGUCGAGAGAGGAAAGAUUUAUCGCCAAAGGAUCGGCCCGCGUUGGAUUAGGUAGUUGGUGGGGUAAUGGCCUACCAAGCCGACGAUCCAUAGCUGGUUUGAGAGGAUGAUCAGCCACACUGGGACUGAGACACGGCCCAGACUCCUACGGGAGGCAGCAGUGGGGAAUCUUAGACAAUGGGGGAAACCCUGAUCUAGCCAUGCCGCGUGAUCGAUGAAGGCCUUAGGGUUGUAAAGAUCUUUCAGGUGGGAAGAUAAUGAC
rnacentral:rRNA from 1 species